UGUUGGUGUCGGCUGGGGGCUGCUGUGAGGCGCUUGGUAGCACCCAGUCCUGAUACUCUCCAGUUACCCGGUAGGCGGGGCUCGGACACAAAGAAAAGGUGAAUUCGCAGCUGAGAGCCCUUGUUUCCGGUCCUUUUUUUUUUUUUUUUGAGAUGGAGUCUCGCUCUGUCACCCAGGCUGGAGUGCAGUGGCGCCAUCUCGGCUCACUGCAAGCUCUGCCUCCGGUGUUCAAGCGAUUCUCCUGCCUCAGCCUUCUAAGUAGCUAGGAUUACAGGCGCGCGUCACCACGCUUGGCUAAUUUUUGUAUUUUUAGUAGAGCCGAGGUUUCACCAAGUUGGUCAAGAUGGUCUCAAACUUCUGACCUCGUGAUCCGCCCGCCUCGGCCUCCCAAAGUGCCGGGAUUACAGGCGUGAGCCACCGCGCCCGGCCGUCUCCGAUCUUUACACGCAUUCUUCGUGUUAUCUGAAGACACUCUGACGCCACCACCCAAAGCAACUGGCAGUUGACUCUUGGCAAUUUUAAGCUUGUGUGGAAAGCAGCCGCCGCCCGGUAGCUCCUUUUUAUCUAGAGACACUCAGGAUGUGGGGGACACCCCAGCAAUGCCAUCCCUCCUUUGACCUCCAGAGCGCGCAGAAUUACAAAGUUGAGUAAUACUUUAUUUGAAAAAAUGAAAAGUGCACACACACACACACACACACACACUUACAUAGGCACAGUAUAAUCUGGAAGUAUGACCAGCAAAUGAUAACUGAUUCCCUCAGGGGAGAAGAAACUGGGUGGCUGAAGGACAGGAAUGAGAAAGAAGGACAGUUGCGUUUGUUUGUAUCGUUUGAAAUUGUCCAGUGUGUAUGUGUUCUUUUCAAAUGUUUGAAGAACCAUUGGCUCCCUUAUCAAAAUAGAUCUUUGGGGGCUUGGAUGGAGGAACAGGAAAAGAGGAGCCAGGCUUUUUUGGAAAAUUGGCGGCAGCGGUGGCAUACGGGAAACUGAAAUCUUUAUCUAAUCUCAUCCUUUGUAUAUUCGUCUUGGAUUUGCUGAAGAAAAUUAAAAGGCCAGGCCUACCACUCCUAUGGCACAGUAUUGAUGAGAGACAUCAGUGGAGCUCCCCACCUCCACCCCAGGCUUGGAACUUAGGGAAUGACUGGUUUUUGUCAUUUCACACAACAGCUGAAGGAUUCUGUCCCCACCUCGUCCUCUGUGAAGUCUGCUGGACGUACCUGCCAGAAUCUUCUGAAGAUGACGUUUGCUGAACACUGACCCACAGGGGUUUGAUGGAUUAUUGACAAUGAGACAAGCUGUCUUUUCAUCAAUUAGAUAUUCCAGUUGUUUCAGGUCAAUUUCCCAAGAUUUCUCUGGCUGGAGAGAAAGAAAGGAUGAGACUAAGAUGAUUCUGAAACAUUUAGGGGGAAUCCUCACUUAUCUCAAGGGUCCAAUGUAAGCAAUAAAGUCUGUCUCUGGCUUCAACCACCACUUUGAGACCUUCCUCUGCUGAAGUAAUGUUCAUAUAUUUUUUACAGAUUGGGCAUCUAUCCCACACCAAGCACUGUCUGGCAUCUUGAACCUGAAUCGAGUCAUGUAAUCUUCACAUCAGUCCUAGAAGUAGAGGCUGUUUCAUUCCCACUUUACAAACGAAAGCUAAGUCACACUGGUAAUUGGUGGCGAGUUGGAGUUCAAGCUUCAUAAUCUGGCUCCAGAGCUCACUACACAAGUCUGCCUCUCUUCAGCGGACAAAGUAAGUUGAGAAGCACAGUCUUUUCUUCUCUAAGGAAUAUAAAAAGAGAAAACAUGAAGACAGAGCCAACUGGGAAAGCCUUAAGAAAAUAGUGAAUUAACUAUGUGGAUUAAGUAUGGACUACUCUCUGAACUUUUAUUGCUCAUCUUUAUUAAUUAUUUUGUAUCUUUGCACCCUGAAUCAUCAUUAGUUAUCACUCAUCCUUGUUGGGUACAGAGAAUGUACAUGUUCUACUUCUCCUAGCCGACUGUAUGUUACGUGAGGAAGUGCACAGCGGGGACAUUCCUAAUACUUUCAACAUCCUCCUUUGUAUCUGGCCCAGCACUUUAUAGAAGCCGUGUUCAAUACUCAUUAGCCAGUUGGCAAUAAAUUACAGUACAUGAUACAGAGGGGGAAAAAUGGUGGAAGAAGUGGUAAUUGAAGGGAAACCAAAGUCUCUUCAUAUUUAUUGUAUUUGUAGAUGGUGGGGUGAAGAAUUUAGGAGGGAUUAAGAGACCAGGUUGGACUUUGAUAAUGUAUAAUGCCU
rnacentral:lncRNA from 10 species